rnacentral:rRNA from 1 species
AUUGAACGCUGGCGGCAUGCCUUACACAUGCAAGUCGAAUGGCAGCACGGGAGCAAUCCUGGUGGCGAGUGGCGAACGGGUGAGUAAAGUAUCGGAACGUGCCCAGUCGUGGGGGAUAACGUAGCGAAAGUUACGCUAAUACCGCAUACGAUCUAUGGAUGAAAGCGGGGGAUCGCAAGACCUCGCGCGAUUGGAGCGGCCGAUAUCAGAUUAGGUAGUUGGUGGGGUAAAGGCUCACCAAGCCGACGAUCUGUAGCUGGUCUGAGAGGACUACCAGCCGCACGGGGACUGAGACACGGCCCAGACGCCUACGGGAGGCAGCAGUGGGGAAUUUGGGACAAUGGGCGAAAGCCUGAUCCAGCCAUGCCGCGUGCAGGAUGAAGGCCUUCGGGUUGUAAACUGCUUUUGUACGGAACGAAAAGGUUUGGCCUAAUAAGCUGAGCUCAUGACGGUACCGUAAGAACAAGCACCGGCUAACUACGUGCCAGCAGCCGCCGUAA